UACGUAGGGUGCAAGCGUUGUCCGGAAUUAUUGGGCGUAAAGAGCUCGUAGGCGGUCUGUCGCGUCGGCUGUGAAAACCCGCGGCUCAACCUCGGGCCUGCAGUCGAUACGGGCAGACUAGAGUGCGGUAGGGGAGACUGGAAUUCCUGGUGUAGCGGUGGAAUGCGCAGAUAUCAGGAGGAACACCGGUGGCGAAGGCGGGUCUCUGGGCAGUAACUGACGCUGAGGAGCGAAAGCGUGGGGAGCGAACAGG
rnacentral:rRNA from 1 species